CCAAUAAAAUCUACCUCCAUCACUCCAGUAUCCCUGUACAUAGUAUCUACCUCAAUCACUACAGUAUCUACCUCCAUCACUCCAGUAUCCCUCUACAUACAGUAUCUACCUCCAUCACUCCAGUAUCCCUGUACAUACAGUAUCUACCUCCAUCACUACAGUAUCCACCUCCAUCACUCCAGUAUCCCUGUACAUACAGUAUCUACCUCCAUCACUACAGUAUCCACCUCCAUCACUCCAGUAUCCCUGUACAUACAGUAUCCACCUCCAUCACUCCAGUAUCCCUCUACAUGCAGUAUCUACCUCCAUCACUCGAGUAUCCCUCUACAUACAGUAUCUACCUCCAUCACUCCAGUAUCUACACAUACAGUAUCUACCUCCAUCACUCCAGUAUCCACCUCCAUCACUCCAGUAUCCCUGUACAUACAGUAUCUACCUCCAUCACUCCAGUAUCCCUGUACAUACAGUAUCCACCUCCAUCACUUCAGUAUCCCUGUACAUAGUAUCUACCUCCAUCACUCCAGUAUCCCUGUACAUAGUAUCUACCUCAAUCACUCCAGUAUCCCUCUACAUACAGUAUCUACCUCCAUCACUCCAGUAUCCCUCUACAUACAGUAUCUACCUCCAUCACUCCAGUAUCCCUCUACAUACAAUAUCUACCUCCAUCACUCCAGUAUCCCUCUACAUACAGUAUCCACCUCCAUCACUCCAGUAUCCCUGUACAUAGUAUCUACCUCCAUCACUCCAGUAUCCCUCUACAUACAGUAUCUACCUCCAUCACUCCAGUAUCUACCUCCAUCACUACAGUAUCUACCUCCAUCACUCCAGUAUCCCUCUACAUACAGUAUCUACCUCCAUCACUCCAGUAUCCCUCUACAUACAGUAUCUACCUCCAUCACUCCAGUAUCUACCUCCAUCACUACAGUAUCUACCUCCAUCACUCCAGUAUCUACCUCCAUCACUACAGUAUCUACCUCCAUCACUACAGUAUCUACCUCCAUCACUACAGUAUCUACCUCCAUCACUCCAGUAUCCCUCUACAUACAGUAUCUACCUCCAUCACUCCAGUAUCCCUCUACAUACAGUAUCUACCUCCAUCACUCCAGUAUCUACCUCCAUCACUACAGUAUCUACCUCCAUCACUCCAGUAUCUACCUCCAUCACUACAGUAUCUACCUCCAUCACUACAGUAUCUACCUCCAUCACUCCAGUAUCUACCUCCAUCACUACAGUAUCUACCUCCAUCACUCCAGUAUCCCUCUACAUACAGUAUCCACCUCCAUCACUCCAGUAUCCCUCUACAUACAGUAUCUACCUCCAUCACUCCAGUAUCUACCUCCAUCACUACAGUAUCUACCUCCAUCACUCCAGUAUCCCUCUACAUACAGUAUCUACCUCCAUCACUCCAGUAUCCCUCUACAUACAGUAUCUACCUCCAUCACUCCAGUAUCUACCUCCAUCUCUCCAGUAUCCCUGUACAUUGUUAAUAUGGUAUUGACCCUGUAUAUAGUCCCCUUCCCCCUCUACAUAUCUACCUCCAUCUCUCCAGUAUCACUGCACAUUGUAGAUAUGGUAUUGACCCUGUAUAUAGUCCCCUUCCCCCUCCAGUAUCACUGCACAUUGUAGAUAUGGUAUUGACCCUGUAUAUAGUCCCAUUCCCCCUCUACAUAUCUACCUCCAUCUCUCCAGUAUCAUUGCACAUUGUAGAUAUGGUAUUGACCCUGUAUAUGGUACCAUAUAUGAUAUUGACCCUGUAUAUAGUACCAGAUAUGGUAUUGAAACUG
ensembl:lncRNA